AGAGUUUGAUCAUGGCUCAGGAUGAACGCUGGCGGCGUGCCUAAUACAUGCAAGUCGAGCGAACUGAUUAGAAGCUUGUCCUUAUGACGUUAGCGGCGGACGGGUGAGUAACACGUGGGCAACCUGCCUGUAAGACUGGGAUAACUUCGGGAAACCGAAGCUAAUACCGGAUAGUAUCUUCUCCUUCAUGGGAGAUGAUUGAAAGAUGUUUUCGGUUAUCUCUUACAGAUGGGCCCGCGGUGUUUUAGCUAGUUGGUGAGGUAACGGCUCACCAAGGCAACGAUGCAUAGCCGACCUGAGAGGGUGAUCGGCCACACUGGGACUGAGACACGGCCCAGACUCCUACGGGAGGCAGCAGUAGGGAAUCUUCCGCAAUGGACGAAAGUCUGACGGAGCAACGCCGCGUGAGUGAUGAAGGCUUUCGGGUCGUAAAACUCUGUUGUUAUGGAAGAACAAGUACGAGAGUAACUGCUCGUACCUUGACGGUACCUAACCAGAAAGCCACGGCUAACUACGUGCCAGCAGCCGCGGUAAUACGUAGGUGGCAAGCGUUAUCCGGAAUUAUUGGGCGUAAAGCGCGCGCAGGCGGUUUCUUAAGUCUGCUGUGAAAGCCCACGGCUCAACCGUGGAGGGUCAUUGGA
rnacentral:rRNA from 1 species